rnacentral:lncRNA from 1 species
UAAAGCUCUCUUUUUCUCUCACAAGAAGAACUUGGACGGAGUUUGCUUUCUCUUUUGUAUUUUUAAAGUUUAUUUUGAUAUUAAUAUCAAAGUUCAACUUUUAAGUUGUGUCUUUUUCAUUUACUUUACUAACUUAUCUUUUUAGUGUUCUUUUUUGUCAUUUUAUAUAUUGUACAAUCAAUGUACAGACUUCAUUCGAUGCUGCAUCAUUUCACGAUUCAGAUUUAGGUACACAAAUUCAUAAUCAGGCACAUCGUUGAGUUCAUCACUUCCAGCUUCUGGUGAGUCCUCCCUACUUUCUGGAGGUGUAGUUUAGAUUUGAUUAGUUGUUUUCAGUUAUUUAAGAUUUGUCGGGAGCCUUAACCUUGUAGACAUUGUUUCUCCUAUUUAAAGGCUUCAUACACAAUUUAAUUGAUAGACAUCUGUUAUCUUCAAAUUUUGAUUUUCAUGUCAUUUCUUUUAUGGGAUUCAUGUUUUCUUCUUAUUAAGUAGUGAAGUCUGCUUUUUAUUAAGACAUUUUUAAGUUUUACUUACGAUUUCCUCAAUAUAUACUAAUUAAAUGCUCAUGUCAUAUGUUAGGUAGUUCGCUCGGAUUAGCAAUGACAUCGGGUGUCAGCUACAUCAAGGUUAGGCGUGGGGCAUGACAUGAGUACACGUAAAUUUGUACUAGAACUUGUAUAUUUCUGCAGCUUGUUGUGUAGGUUAUUAGAGUACUACCUCCGAUCGGUGAGAGAUAGAUGUAUUUGGAGUACUUCCUCUCGAGGUCUCAAGGUUGCUUCCUGGGUGAGUGAGGGUAAAACUAAUUUUGUUUUUUUAACUUGUCCAAAAAAGACACAUUACUUUUCUACCUGUAGCAUUUACUUUUAUACCUGUCGCAUGCCACUACGGCACCGCCUCCUCUAUCUAUGUAAUUUGGGAAAGAUGUUCAAUAGGAAAACAAAGGAGCACGUGGGAGAGAGGGAUCAUUUUAAUUUUAUUUGGAGUGGUGUUUAAUUUUGGCUCUCAAAAUUGUGAUCUUUAAUAUUUAUCGUUUAGAACCUUUAGGUAACAAAAAUGCCAAAAAAGAUCCUGACGGAAAACAAUUUGCAAGGCAAAACAAAAUUUGCAAAGCAAAAGAAAUCCGCAAGACAUAAGUCCAAUGCCACAACUUAUGCUCAGGGCGUAAGUACAAUGACACAAGGUAUGCCCCAUGGCAUAAAUUCAGCUGCACAAGUUAUGUCCAAGACUUAAGUUUAGUGACAAAAGUUAUGUCGUUAGGCACAAGUUCAAUGGCAUAAGUAACGUCUAUCGAACUUAUGCCCAAGGCACAAGUUAUGCCUACUGAACUUAUGCCCCAAGAAAAAGUUAUAAAGGCACAAGUUACGCAUACUGAACUUAUGCCCCAAGCAAAGAUUUUUAAAAAGUUUUCCUUGCGAAUUUAGAUAGUACCAAACUUAUGCCCCAAGACAAAGAUUCUCUUUCCUGCAAAAUUAGGUCAUAAUUAUUAUGAAAUGGAUAAACGUGUAAAAAAAUUUAAAAAUUUGUGUACAAGUAAAAUUGCACU